AGAUGCCAUCCAGGCGCACGGCGGGUAUAGUGGUUCCGCAACCUUGGGAUGUUCGGCUGAGCGCCUGCCUAACAUGGGAGCGCCUGCCUAACCCUCCUGACUGGAGGGUCAGCGGCGGGGAGUCCUGGCCUUCAAUCGGCCAUCGCCACGGCAGAAACUGGGGCCCGGGCUGCGUCCAGGCCCUUCCCCGUCCGUCCACAGGUCUCAUGGGCGCCCGGACUGGGGCUGAUGUAGUUUCCCGACCUCUGACACAUAGGAUCUGGAGAUUAAAGCUGCUCUGCUAAUAAUUAGGUUCCCACCUCUCAAGAUCAUUAGGAGCUUCUUUUCCAAUUCCUCUGUUUUGCAUGCAUUGGAAGAUACCCCAUCAGCCUGAGUCUCUUAAAGGCCUUUAUACACAUAUGUCUACACAUAGGGAUUUGGAUGAUCUCGGGAUCCCACAUCCUCGCUGUCCCCUGUCCCCCCACAACAUCCCACACCAAUACCUUUCUGAAGUUUUCUAGUCCCUCCUUUUUGUUUGUGGUCCUUAAAGCCCAGCCCCAUGCCUGACUUUGGUUCCCAGUGAGCAUUGUACAUUUGUGGAUAUUAAAUCUUUGGCAAAGUCAUUUA
rnacentral:lncRNA from 1 species